rnacentral:lncRNA from 1 species
GAAACUUUUUGGGAAAGUUCCCCAAAACUUUGGGGAACUGUGUUCCCCUGAAGUUUGGAGGGUGAGGAGUGAAAGAGGUUGAGAAGAAUGAGCUGGCUGGAUGGAGUCUUGUUCUGUCACCAGGCUGGAGUGCAGUGGUGCGAUCUCAGCUCACUACAACCUCCACCUCCUGGGUUCAAGUGAAUCCCCUGCCUCAGCCUCCCUAGUAGCUGGGACUACAGGCACGCACCACCACACCUGGCUAAUUUUUUGUAUUUUUUAGUAGAGAUGGGGUUUCACCAUGUUGGCCAGGAUGGUCUCAAUCUCUUGACCUCAUGAUCUGCCCACCCCGGCCUCCCAAAGUUCUGGGAUUACAGGCCUGAGCCACUGCACCUGGCUGCUAGUUCUUAAGAGGGAGGUAUGAGAUGUAUGUAUAGACUAAGUGAAAGGAAAAUAUCUUGGGCCCCCAAAAUCACUAAGCUAAAAGGAAAAUUCAAGCUGGAAACUGCUCAGAGCAAACCUGCUUCCCAUUCUAUUCAAAGUCAUCCCUCUGCUCACUGAGGUAAAUGCAUAUUCUGAUUGGCUCCUUUGUAAAAGCUAAUUAGAAACUCAAAAGAAUGCAACUAUUUGUCUCUCACCUACCUGUGACCUGGAAGACCCCUCCCUGCUUCAAGUUUUCCCC